UUUCCAUGCCCUAAAGUGCAAUACAAAGGCCAAAUCUCCACCCAAUCUCAAGACAGGUCUGAUCAACAUUAUAAAAAAAACGUGAAGCUAUGCUGGAGGCAAACCAAAACGCUCCUCAGCCUCCUAGAAGACACCUCCUGACUUGUUGGGAGGAUGAAGCUCCUGGCACUCUGUGGCUUUCUGUUUGUCUUCCUUUUGUUCCUCAGUGCCUUUACUGCAGAAGGUCGGAAUGUUAAAAAAGGCUGCUGUUCAAAACUGGCCAAAAUCAACAGAAGAGUGCAUAAAGGUUCGCGUUCCAAAAUGACUCCAAUGCAAAUAAGGAAAUGCAAGCCCUGUGCUGCACCAGGCCCUGUCUUCGCUCCCGGACCUCUUCCACAGCUAAAAUGAGCAGAUGGAGCAUCUGUCUGCCCGCAUGUCCCAGUGCUUUACUUGGUUGAGGGUCCUCUUUUUGCAAAUAGUGCAUGAAUGCCUGCUACUUUGGUCAAUAUUUAUGUAUUCCCUCAGGUUUCAUCUUGUUAUCAUUAACUUGGCAGCUGAGAAGCCAGGCAGAGCUGCCUGGCUGCUACUAGACUUUAUCUGUUGCAUGUUCCUCUUAACCAAACAGGGAUUUAGCUCUGCAAGCAAGCGAAAGAGGAAGGCUGGACAAAAUGCUUUGGUUUGCAUUUCUGGAUGGGAAAAGGCUGAUGUUGUUAUUGUUUCUGGUUACUGCUAUAUAUAUAUGCGUGUAUUCAACAUUUUAUCUGAGUAAUUUCUUAUUGACAAAAGGAUUCUGCUUGUAGCUAGGACAGACUUGUUCCUGCAACAUUUGUUCUCACUGCUCGAAAUCCACUCGUAAGUGGAUUUCUAGCAAGUGAAAAUGAGCUUAUGAUUUAGAAGGGGCUGAGAAGCUAGAUAAGCAGGCUGUUUUAAAAUAGUUGCAGAGGACUAGAUUCAAAUACAGUUCUAAGCACUUCAGUAUCUCCUCUGGGGGACAAACUGGGCUUCAAAAGCAUGGGGGCUGUUCUUUCGCUUCCCAGAAGCAUGUCAUCAGGUGGUUAUUAAAUAUACUGAAAGGAUGUUGAGGUUAAUCAGAUUAAAUCUUCUCCUUCUGAAGCCAGAAGGCAGUUAUUCUGUUCAAGCACCUGAUCUGUGUGAUUACUUCAGUAAACAGAACUCACUGAAGUGUGAUAUUAAACAAAUGAUAUGAAUAUUGCCUGAGUGCUAAUGAGAGAAACAGAAGUUGUCUGAUGUCAUCACCACUGGAGCUUUCACUCAGGUAUCUCCUGUCCUUUUCUACCUGUCUCCUGUCUGUGCUGUUAUUUCUGUGCCCGGGGUGAGUCCUCAAACAAGAAUUGCUUGGAGGUUUAUGAGCUUGGCUUUCCCUCUAGUGAAUAUGAGGUGCAUUGGAAAGCUUUUCCGCUCUUGGGCAAAUUGAAAUUUGCCAGUAGUAAUUUUACCUUCAGCAGAAGGAAAACUGCGGUUUCCCUAAGGUAAUUUCCAGGAUGAUAGAAAUGGUCUCUGUGCCCUUCAUUAAUCUGGGGUAGCUGUGCAGGGGUGGUUAGAUGCCUAUUGUAACCCACCCAGGCAGUAGUGUUUCCCCAGAGAGAAGUUAACGGGCACUCAGAUCUGGCCAUGCUCUCUUAUUGUCAACGUUUAUAUUGUGCUGAGCAAUUGCUAUUACUGCACUUUAUUGUUUUUUGAGUUCAGGUAGAUCUGACCCUCAGCUUCCUAGCUGUGAGCUGACCACACAUGGUGUUUUCAUAUCAAGGAUGAAAAGGAUCCUCUGGUCCUAGCAGGAUCUGAGCCAAGGUUGAUGGAAAAGCUGUGUUCAAUAAUUACGCUGACCACUGAGCAAACAUGUUUAGCUUUAUUUUGGUUUUGUACGCCACAAAAGGUGUCAGCAAUAGCAGUGAUGUAGUAAGUGUUUUGGAUAUGACAUGUUUUCAGCCGUGGUUUUAUCUCUAAAAUGUGGCAAUGUGUUUACAGCCCCAUGCAAAGCGUUAGUAACAGCUAUGAGGGGUUCUGCUCUCUAACAACAUGAGUUAAGGCCAUUUGUUUUAUGUUUGCAAAAUGCUAUGAGAUUUUUCUUUUUGUCCUUCUAACAGCAGGAUCCACGCUCUGGUCCUUUUUCAGGCAGCAUUGUUUCUGGUAGCAAAAGAAGUUGCCCAAGACCAUCAGCAUAAUUAGAGAAAUGCUGGGGGUCUCUAGACAUCACCAAGGCACUUGGGUAUUUUUAUUCACCUGGCUUCUCAGACUAGCCUCAACCUAGGGUUAAGGGCUCUUCAAAUAUAUAAAUAUGUCAUGUCAGUGAGGCCUUGGUUUUGACUGAACAAACUAAAGCAGGAUCCUCAAGCUAUUUCAGCUCUGACUGUGAUGACUGCUGCUCAAAUAUGGUUUUUGCCUGGCCUACCGGUAUCCAAGAGGUCAUCUGUCAUCUUCCCAAAGGUGAUUCCUCACCUUGAAGUCAGACUUCUACUUCUUGAACUAUUUUCCCUAUGUGGUAGAACAGAGUUACCUCCUGAUCACAGCUUCACCUUAUAGGCACCUGUUCUUCAUUUUGUUUCCUUUAUUUCCAUAUUUAUUUUCUUGGCUUUACCUGAGGAGAAACAUAUUUACUCAGUGGCUUUGCAAAAUCCGCAGUCGGCAUGCUUACACGAAGCAAUAAAUUCAGCGUGCCCAAGCUCACACGUGCAUUUCUUUGUAUCCUGCAUUUUUGUGUGCACCUGGCUGUCAGGCAUGAAGACUGUAGAGCUUUCAUGUUCCAAUAAAGAUAUUUUUGAUGUAUCUCUAUGCCUCCCAGAAUACAUGUUGGAUCCUAGUCUGAUAUUGUCCACUUGUUCUGAGAUUAAUACCAUCAGCUGACACCAAAUUGGUCUUUUAUAUGUUACUACGGAUGUGUCCCAUCAGGGGCACAGAGAAAUGGUUGCUGCUGAGAGGGGCUGUUAGAGCACAAGCAGUUUGUUGUUUUUUUCCUACAAACUCUGUACCAGAAGUCUAAAAGCUACAUAUUCUUUGUACAAAUAAUAAUCUCAGAGGUGUAUUGGGGAUUCUUGCCGUUGAACCCUCAGCCGUCUUGACUCUGGCCUACACCUCAUUCGAGGGUCUGGGUGUAGCUGCUUUCAGGAUUUUAGCUCUGCAGAAGUUCUGUUAAUCCAAAGUAUGGGCUACUAUGGCAGUUUCCUAUGAUUGUAUUUUCUAAGAAAAAACAAAAUCCUGCAUAGGUAACGUCAUUACAGAUGAUUAGUCAGGUGAAGCAUGAAAGCAGAGGCAUGACUUCUUGCUCUUGCAGAUCUGUAUGCUCUUGCUGAAGCUGAGUGGAAGGUUCUUCGUGAUUUGAGUGUUGAGAGGAUUGAGUCUAGAGACACGUUGCCUGAUCCUCUUCUGUCCAGUUUUGCUGCUAACUGACCUACCAGACAGAUACAGCAGCCUUGCCAGAUGGUGAAUGCAGAUUGAAUUCUAUCUAUAUUUGACCAAAGUUCAUUUUGAGAAGAAUCCAGCUAAAAUUUAGCUGUGACUUUCUUCUCUCCUCAGUUGAAGGUGAGAGGAAAAUUGCUUCACAAGUCAAUCUUUUUUUUUUUGGCAUCAAACGGAUGAAUUUUUCCCUCGUUAGAUCUGAGCAGUUGUCUCUGCUGUUUUCUCUGCAGAAUUAAGUAUUUGUUUAGAUGAUGGUGGGGAAAAAAAAGAGCUCCUUAGCCCUACAUUAAGUAACGUGUGCAGGCAUGUUGGUUCUGACUUGUGCGUGACUUCAGUUCCCAGCAGCAAUUCAGCAUUAUAAGGCUUCUGGUGGGCACUGGAUGACUAAGUUGCUUUCUAGCACCCAGCUGUCUCAUCAUAUUUCACAUUUUCAUCUCGGAGUAGGUGUAUAGGCAUGGGAGAAUUUCCCCCAAAUUACUUGUGUUUUCAGUGUGUCACUGGUGAAAUCUGCUGGAAAAGUUAUCUGGAUGUGCAUUUGUCCGAGUCAUCAUUCAGCCCUUCAGCUGCCACUUUGCCUCAGAGGCCCUGCUGUGAGUGUCAUCAGGCGUAGGGGAUUUAAUUCCACAUUUUCAGGCUGGUACUCAAUGAGGGAAUGACAGAGGCCAGAGAUUUGCAGUAACAUAAGCACAUUACUGUCUCAGUGCCAUCUAGUCAGCCUCUGAAAGCAUGAUCAGAGAAAUCAAGUCACUUGAUGCCUUGAGAGAUCCUAAACUGGGCACGACUUGCCUGUCUUCUUGCACACUCCCAAAAACCUCUGCAAUUGCAAGAAGCUGUCAAACCAAGCCCAGUUGAUGUCAGGCUCAAACUGCAUGCGGCGCGUUUGCUGGAGAGCAAGUGAGUCACAGCUAGCAGUGCAGCACAGAUGCUUGCAGGAGAGGGUUUAAGCCUUGUACGGGAGAAAUACCAGCCCAAACAUUUGAAAGCUUUUGUGCACAACGUGCCUGUUCAGCGAAUGAUUGUGAUCAAGUCUCUAAAACUGGACCACAUGUGCAGCCUUCUAACAGUGUAGCUUACACAAUUGUGAUAUGCUUAACACACUCAAAGCACUAAUAGACCCUGGUUAAUAAGAUGUCCAAGUCCAAAAGCGAAACAGCAGUAGGGUUUCUCUCAGCUGACAAGCAAGGUGACACUUAAUAUCUGUCAGUGGCAGAAGAGAUCUGUUCUCCUCAUUUCUCCAAUGUUGUUUGGUCAUUAGCACUGAUCUCAACCCGAGGGACAAAAAGGCACAUUCCCAGGGAGUGCUAUGUGGUUAGUUGUAGCCAAUUCAUCUUUCCUUGGUUUCUGGAAAUAAGAUGUCUGUGGCAUGCUCUUAUAAUUGGAUCCUACAGCCACAGUGCGCUGGAUAUUACCAUCUUCGCUAGGUGGUUUUUUGAGUCAAAACUUCCCAUUUGUCUCACUGAAGAGCCCUAUGUCAUAGUCAGUGCUGGCUGUGCGGUGUGCUCACUGAGCAGAGCUAAAACUUGUUUGCAUCUGCCUGGCAAGAAAGAUGAUUUCAUGCAAAAACAGUGUGAAGAAGUCCAUCUGAUCAGAGAAGCAGUCAGAUGUUUUGAAACAAGUUUCUGAAUGGGAUGGAUAUUCAGUAGGGUCCACAAGUCCCUCUAUAAAACAUUCCCUUCAACUUAAGAACCUUUCAGUUGCUAACUUUUGAUUAUAUGGGAAACAAUGAAUGAUGGUUGUUGUCUCUGGGUUCUUGUCUUGAAGUUGUUUGAUUGUACUAAGGUUAAACAAACAAGCAUUUUCCUUUGUCUUGGUUAAGUAUAUACUUAGGCUGCUUGCUUUUGUGAAAGCAUUUGGAUGAGUGGAUGAUGAGAUGAAACAGAAAAUACCUGAGCUCAAGUUAUGUCUGGGAAAGGAUUACGUACGUGGUUAAUAUUAGCCUUGUAAUUUCCACCUUUGAUGUUUGAAUUCCCCCAUAUUUCUAUUGAGUUAGGUGAAGACUGACUAGAUUGGAGAAAAGAUCCUAAAGUCUGAGAAGUGAAAUCCAUUCAGUUCUCAAAUUGGCACCUGUAGUUGAGAUUCUCACUAUAUAGUCCUAUCAAAUCUACUAACGGGUUGUUAAAAAAAAAAAAAAGAGAGAGAGAGAGAGAAAUUCAAUAACUGUGGUACUUUGAGAUAAAGUACUUGAAGGUGUGUGAGGUGAAGAGCCUGUCUGUGGGCUUUAUCCAGUGUAAACAGCUUGCUUUGAAAAUCAUGAAAACAGUGUAUUUAGAGGACUGUUGACUGCGUAGAAAUUUCUCCAGUGGCAGUUACCAAAAGUUUAUGUGGGAACAGAGUGAUAGUCCCAUGUGUUUUUGAGGUAAGGUAAAUUACUUCAAAGCCAAGUUUUUAGAUCUCCAUGUUAUGGAUAGAAAAAUUAUUGGAAUGUAUCUUGCAUUCAGAACUUUCAGGUUAAGGAUGAACUUUGGUGUAAGGAUUGCCUCUCAUUACAGCAAUCCAAGGUGAAGACUGAGGUGUUCUCCAGCCAGUUAGAUCUUCAAAAUCCUAACAAGCUACAGAAGUUGUGG